CGACGGGGGCCACUCCCUCGGUCACGGAGGAGUAUGGCCGGCGAUCGAUUCCGAUCGCCGGCGCUGGAAAAUUCAAGGAAAAGAGACCCAAAAACAGAGUCUCUUUCCCGACUGUAGAUCAGCGACACUCGUCGCCGGCAGCCGCGUACAGGAGCAUGGGAGGAAGGAGAAGAAAGAGAGGAAGAAGAAGGAGACUCACCUCGGCCUCCGGUGACCUCACCGGCGAGAAAUCACGGCGAGAAACCAACAGUGCCCGCGGCUCUUCUUCGGGAAAAUUGGAGAGAAAGAGAGGGAGAAGAGGCCGAUGGAUCGAUUCUAAAGAGAGGGGAGACCUUCUUAUAGAGGGUCCUAGGAUUUCGAGGGAUCCUAGGACUCCUAAUGUGCUUGGGUCUCGCCGGAGAAGAAGACUCCUACCG
rnacentral:lncRNA from 1 species